GGGUCAGUAGGUUGGUCGUGCCACCGGUACGUACUGGUCUCGCUGAUUCCUCCUUCCUGAAGAACCGUAAUGCCAUUAAUUUGGUGUUGCGGGGAAACAGGACUGUUACUUUGAAAAAAUUAGAGUGUUUAAAGCAAGCUAACGCUUGAAUACAUUAACAUGGAAUAAUGAAAUAGGACGAUCGAUCCUAUUUUGUUGGUUUCUAGGAUUGACGUA
rnacentral:rRNA from 1 species